CAGAACCCAGCUGGUUUCCCAGUGUUUCUCUCCCCCGCCCCCCGCCACUCAGGCCACGGAUGGGGUGGUGAGAGGCAUAGAGGGUAGCCAGGAGACCAAGGAGAGAAAAUAUCGGUGUAUAAUUUCUCACGGAACUUGGAACUCAAACUCCAGGGAUCCACCUGUCUCCACCACUGGCCCCAGCACUAGAAUUACAGGCGUGUGUCACCAUGCCUCGUUUUUACACAGCUCGUGAAUCCAUUCAUGGAGAUUCUGUUCCCGGGAUGCGACUGUCUCUCAAAAGUACCAACUUUCGGGCUGGAGAGAUGGCUCAGAGGCUAAGAGCAAUGACC